CAGCAGCCGCCACGGUAAUACAGAGGGUGCGAGCGUUAAUCGGAUUUACUGGGCGUAAAGCGUGCGUAGGCGGCUUUUUAAGUCGGAUGUGAAAUCCCUGAGCUUAACUUAGGAAUUGCAUUCGAUACUGGGAAGCUAGAGUAUGGGAGAGGAUGGUAGAAUUCCAGGUGUAGCGGUGAAAUGCGUAGAGAUCUGGAGGAAUACCGAUGGCGAAGGCAGCCAUCUGGCCUAAUACUGACGCUGAGGUACGAAAGCAUGGGGAGCAAACAGGAUUAGAUACCCCGGUAGUCCCUGUCUCUUAUAA
rnacentral:rRNA from 1 species